rnacentral:rRNA from 1 species
GAUGAACGCUGGCGGCGUGCUUAACACAUGCAAGUCGAACGGUGAACACGGAGCUUGCUCUGUCGGAUCAGUGGCGAACGGGUGAGUAACACGUGAGCAACCUGCCCCUGACUCUGGGAUAAGCGCUGGAAACGGCGUCUAAUACUGGAUAUGUGACGUGACCGCAUGGUCUGCGUUUGGAAAGAUUUUUCGGUUGGGGAUGGGCUCGCGGCCUAUCAGCUUGUUGGUGAGGUAAUGGCUCACCAAGGCGUCGACGGGUAGCCGGCCUGAGAGGGUGACCGGCCACACUGGGAUUGAGACACGGCCCAGACUCCUACGGGAGGCAGCAGUGGGGAAUAUUGCACAAUGGGCGAAAGCCUGAUGCAGCAACGCCGCGUGAGGGAUGACGGCCUUCGGGUUGUAAACCUUUUUUAGCAGGGAAGAAGCGAAAGUGACGGUACCUGCAGAAAAAGCGCCGGCUAACUACGUG